rnacentral:rRNA from 1 species
UUCGGGAUGCCGGCGAGUGGCGAACGGGUGAGUAAUACGUGGAAACCUAUCCUGAGGUGGGGGAUAACAGCUGGAAACGGCUGCUAAUACCGCAUAAGCCCUAAGGGGGAAAGAUUUACCGCCUUAGGAGGGGUCCACGUCGGAUUAGCUAGUUGGUAGGGUAAAGGCCUACCAAGGCGACGAUCCGUAGCUGGUCUGAGAGGAUGGACAGCCACACUGGGACUGAGACACGGCCCAGACUCCUACGGGAGGCAGCAGUGGGGAAUAUUGCGCAAUGGGGGAAACCCUGACGCAGCGAUGCCGCGUGGGUGAAGAAGGCCUUCGGGUUGUAAAGCCCUUUCAGUGGGGAAGAUAGUGACGGUACCCACAGAAGAAGCUCCGGCUAACUCCGCGCCAGCAGCCGCGGUAAUACGGAGGGGGCGAGCGUUGU